CCUACGGGAGGCAGCAGUGAGGAAUAUUGGUCAAUGGCCGCAAGUCUGAACCAGCCAAGCCGCGUGCAGGAAGAAGGUUCUAUGAAUUGUAAACUUCUUUUGUCAGAGGGCAAAAUCAGACACGCGUGUCUGUCUGAGAGUACCUGAAGAAAAAGCAUCGGCUAACUCCGUGCCAGCAGCCGCGGUAAUACGGAGGAUGCAAGCGUUAUCCGGAUUUAUUGGGUUUAAAGGGUGCGUAGGCGGCGUAUCAAGUCAGCGGGAAAAUCGGGGGGCUCAACUUCGUACAGCCGUUGAAACUGAUCGUCUUGAGAGGGCGAGAAGUAGGCGGAAUGCGUGGUGUAGCGGUGAAAUGCAUAGAGAUCACGCAGAACUCCGAUUGCGAAGGCAGCUUACCGGCGCACUACUGACGCUGAGGCACGAAAGCGUGGGUAUCGAACAGGAUUAGAUACCCCAGUAGUC
rnacentral:rRNA from 1 species